UCCAAUUCCGAGCGGGCGGCGAUGGGAAUACGGAGGGGGCGAUGGUGAACCGGAGUGACGGGGGUUAAACGGAUCGAAGACGGUACGGGAAGCCAGUGGUGAAAGGCCUGGGCGCAACCCCGGGACGGCAUUUGGAACUGCUGAGCUAGGGUGUCGGAGAGGCAAGGGGAAUUCCUAGUGUAGCGGUGAAAUGCGUAGAUAUUAGGAGGAACACCAGUGGCGAAGGCGGCUUGCUGGACGAUGACUGACGUUGAGGCUCGAAAGCGUGGGGAGCAAACAGGAUUAGAUACCCCUGUAGUC
rnacentral:rRNA from 1 species